rnacentral:rRNA from 1 species
AGGACGAACGCUGGCGGCGUGCUUAACACAUGCAAGUCGAGCGGAAAGGCCCUUCGGGGUACUCGAGCGGCGAACGGGUGAGUAACACGUGAGCAACCUGCCCUUAGCUCCGGGAUAGCUCCGGGAAACCGGAAUUAAAUACCGGAUAUGACUUAGGCCGACAUCGGCUGUGGUGGAAAGUUUUUCGGCUGGGGAUGGACUCGCGGCCUAUCAGCUUGUUGGUGGGGUAAUGGCCUACCAAGGCGACGACGGGUA